AAAAAGAAUGCCUCAAGCAGCAGAAUCAAUGAAUUAAAAUAAAUAAAUCUGCAACUACGGUCAGCUCAUAAGCGCGAUGUUCAAUUUGCAAUGAAGAGAACUCGAACAUUCAACUAUGCAUGAUAAAGCUGUGCAAUGAAGAGCCAUCAAAGAAAAACUUAUUCUAUCUCCCUCAAGCUCAUAAUAGGGAUAGUGAAGACAUGUUGUCUCUCCAGCUGGAGGAUUUCUUACUUGAUGACGGGGUUAAGAAGCUAAGCCCAAACAUCUCCUUAGGGGCAUAGCGUGGCUCUACAUAUCCAGCCAACUUGGCAACAAGCACAGAACUCUCAAUCAUAUGUUUCAAGUCUUUUGUGUCUGUCCAUAAACAGCGUGUCAACUGUAAGCUCCUCUGCUUUGUCUCUAAGUCAAUCCCCCACCUGAGGUAAAGUUCCUCUCUCUCCCUUUUCGUGAACUUUUUCUGUAAUUGCCUUGCUAAAAAAUCCCUUUCUCGAUUUAGAGCCUUCAAACUUGAGGAUGGUGAGACGAUUUGAGUAUUUAUCAUCUUGUUAGUUCCACGGGCAGACAUGUCCUUCAGAAAGUACAAUCUUCUAAGCUCAACCUCCAUGUACACAUUGUCUGAAGGAUCACCUCUAAAGAGCAAAAAGAAAUAGCUUCUGUGGACCAAUGGUACAUUGCAUCUAACCCAUAGUUCAAUUAUUUUUCUCCGGUAUCUUUGGAAUUUUUGGGGCCAAUUAUGACGCUGCCAAGCACCAUUGCCUCUGUUCAUUGAGUCAUCAAUCCUAGUUGAUGCUUCCGCAACCGGAACAUCACUAAAUAUCUCUGACUGAGCUAUAGCCAAUUUGUUCACUCCUGCAACACAAUCAAGGACAGUCGUAGUAUCAUUUACAUCUACAUCUAUCUCUUUGAUGCUCUCUUCUUCAGUAGAAACAUUAAUGGAAUUUUGAGAAUCUUUCCUGGACAUAUUUCUAGUUUCGGCAUCAUACUCUAAUUCAGGAAACUUUUGCUCAAUGUCUACUGGUCUUCCGAGGGAAUCCUCGGUAUGAGGUGUGUUCGCAUUCUCUUCUUCCUUUUCAUACCAAACAUCAGAUGGAAUAGUCAUAAGAACCGUUCUCCUACUUUUGCUUCUAGUCCAUGUCAAGCCUUUAGGACUAGACGCACCUGCUUCAAUGGAAGAAGAUUGUUCUAAACGGCUGAUAGUCUCAUACAAUUCAUGAAUUUUUCGCUUCAGAGCAUCAUGAGAGUUAUAUGAAUUAUCAUGGUUCAACUCUUUAUCUUCUUCCUGCGUUGAUGGUGCUGCACCUUCAUUCCUCACUGCUGUUGUGGCUAACUUUUCGUCUUGUUCUUCAGAACCAACUAACGAUACAUCACCUUCUGUUUUCCUGUUCAUACUUUCUUCCCCUGUUUCGAUGCAUUGAACUUCCUUGCAGAUAUCUUCAGCUUCUUCGUGAUUUCGUCGAGUAUUCUCCCAACCAUUAAAUGGUUCAGGCCCAAAAAACUUUGGAGUGCUAUUAUCCAGCAGAAAAUUUUCUUCAGGAUCUGGAAUCGGUAGGAUUUUCCUGGUAGGAGUAAGCACACUGGCCUCAUCAAAAUCCAUGUUGCUUUUUGAAAGACCCACAGGAUUGAUCACUUCUGAGGACUCUGAUGCUGAAUUUUCGUCUAAUCUUCGAUCUUCACCAGUUGAUCUUAGCAAACUCUCAACUUGAGAUUCAGCAAGAUCUCGUUGCCAAGUUAAUUCUUUGAUCUCUUUGUCCAUCUGUUCAAUCAGAAGUUCCUUUUCUCUAAGUAAUGCAUCAGUAUCACCUGACAAAGAAAUUGAUCCCAUGCUCUUUAACCGACCCUCCAGCCUAGCUAGUUCUUUUUGCAAUUGCUUUACCAAUGCCUUAUCUGACAUCACUACGUUGACCUGUGCAUUAGUAACCACCUCUUUAGCACAACUUGCAAACCAGAGGGUGUUUCUUGACUGCUCGACAUGACUGCGUGCAGGGCUUAUAGUGCAGAUCAUGGCAGUUCUGGCAUUGCCUCCUAAGGAAUUAUGCAGUAUGCGUGUUAGCUUAGAGUCUCUGUAAGGUAUGUGUCCAUUUCUUCCCUUGCUCAAUUUGCGAAUUACAGUUCCCAGGGUCAGUAAACUGCGAUUUAUGUGGGAACCUUCCUUUAAUCUUGCACCAGCUGCCAAUGUCUGAGAAGCACGCUCGCUCCCCGCAAGAUCAACAAAAUUCACUGUAGCUGUGAGAGUGCUUGAACUUCCAGCACCUGAAUAUUCACGACCAGAGCUUUCUACUGUCAGUCUUAUAAUUUGAUGAGAUCUGGAGCUGUUCUCAUUCAGAGAGGUCUCUCCUAUUUGCCUUUGAGCUUCACAUAUAGAAAGGAGCUCCUGUAGGUGGUUCCAAUCUAUUAGAGUCUCCUCUAUAAGCUUCUCGACUACCGUACCUUUCUCUGGAUCAUCUAGGACUCGAAGCGGAGUGCUAUCUGUGCCAAGGAGAUCUCUGACGGCUUCAUUGUAAAUCUCCAUGGCCGAGAAUUUCAAUACGAAUUCUCUUUCUUUGUGCUGGUUCAUGUAUUCAAAUAUAUCUGCCACUGCAUAUUCAGUAAUUCCACUCAUAGUAUAGGUCUUCCCACUGCUUGUUUGCCCAUAUGCAAAAAUACUAGAGUUAAUGCCACUAACUGCUGCAAGAGCAAUUUCUUUGGCUCCUUCCUCGUAUACCUGCUUUGUGUUGCUUUCACUCCCAAA
rnacentral:misc_RNA from 1 species